rnacentral:tRNA from 1 species
CCCUUUGACAACCCCAAUCGUCGUCGCUGGUAGAACGGCGGACUGUUAAUCCGUAUGUCACUGGUUCGAGUCCAGUCAGAGGAGCCA